UACGUAGGGUGCGAGCGUUAAUCGGAAUUACUGGGCGUAAAGCGUGCGCAGGCGGUCUUGCAAGACAGUGGUGAAAUCCCCGGGCUCAACCUGGGAACUGCCAUUGUGACUGCAAGGCUGGAGUACGGCAGAGGGGGAUGGAAUUCCGCGUGUAGCAGUGAAAUGCGUAGAUAUGCGGAGGAACACCGAUGGCGAAGGCAGUCCCCUGGGCCUGUACUGACGCUCAUGCACGAAAGCGUGGGGAGCAAAC
rnacentral:rRNA from 1 species